CAAUAACGUCAUUCUCGCCAUCAAACUGGCUCGAGUCCAUUAUGACAAGGAAGGCACCAUAAAGAGUGUAGAUGAUGGAGCGAAUUACGAUGGGCACUACACCCUGGGCGUCGGUAACAAGGACAGGAAGGGGUAUUACACCAUGACGGCAAUGGCGAAGGCCACAGGCGAGAAAAAGGACAAGUUCGAGAUCAAGGUGAAUCUUCUCGGGCGACAGAACAGCUCAGAGGUCAAGGUGCCACAGGACGUCUGCGAAACCGGGCUGCAUCAAACCAGGAAAAGCCUCCCCACUGACUCCAAACUGCUGCCAUUGAAAGGAAUUCUGGUAUCAAUGCUGAAGGGGGAGAAGAGCCU